UUAAAGAAAUGGGCUCAAAUUAAUAAUUGGACCAUGGGGUCAUUUAUUUGAGCUUUGGGCCAAGAGAUUUUAUUGGAAUGGGCGGCCUUAAGAGGUCUUAAGAAGCCUUAAGAAAAAAUCUGAGGAAAAAGGAAUUUAAGGAGGGAUUGUAAGAAUCCAUAUUUAUUGAGGAAAUAGAAUUUCUCCAAAAAAAGUAAAAGAGAAUGAUUAAGUGCUGCAGAGCAGUAAAGCCGAGUUAGGACUUAAGGAAAAAUCCUAUAAGCCGAGACUAAGAGAUAGAUGUUAUCCUGUAGGAUGCAUGCAUUCUUUUUCAGAAAAACAGUUCAAGUACUAAUUAGCGUGUUACGCUAUUUUCAAGGGAGAAAACAGUCAAGGGCAAGAGAGGCCUAACGAGGAAUUUAAGUGAAGAUAAGCACACGAGGUUGAACGUCAGGAUGGAGAAAAGAUUGAUUGGAGUCGAUGCUAUUAAAUAAGCCUGUGGAUAUCUCGACGAUUCGUGUCUUCAUACACGAAGUCGUUCAGUUGGGACCUAUUCCGCUGUGUUUUGUUGAAUGAGAAUAGUAUUGUCUCAUCAUUGAACUCUGAUUCAGUUGACAUAUCAAACAUUCCAUUUUGAGAUUGUACCAAAUACUCGACUGUUAUUUUGUUAAUAUCACAUUUGUCCUUCGACAAGUUCUUCA